UACGUAGGGUGCGAGCGUUAAUCGGAAUUAUUGGGCGUAAAGAGCUCGUAGGCGGCCUGUCGCGUCGGAUGUGAAAGCCCGGGGCUUAACCCCGGGUCUGCAUUCGAUACGGGCUAGCUAGAGUGUGGUAGGGGAGAUCGGAAUUCCUGGUGUAGCGGUGAAAUGCGCAGAUAUCAGGAGGAACACCGGUGGCGAAGGCGGAUCUCUGGGCCAUUACUGACGCUGAGGAGCGAAAGCGUGGGGAGCGAACAGG
rnacentral:rRNA from 1 species